AUAUGGCUUCUUGUUAGGAACUGAAGUGGGCAGAGACGGGUUCAGCUGCGAGUGGGGAGGGAGGGGAGGCCUUGGAGAGCAGUCAUUGACACUCGACGAAACUGCCUCCUUCAGUGGCCCAUCCUGUCUCUGCGACGGGGAGAGUGCACAUCCGUCUCUCUCACCUGGCAACUGCCAGCCUUACUGCCCUCGGCUACGGCGUCCAUAUGGCCGGAAUUCAGAACUCGCAUGCGCCAACGCGAGAGAGGACGAAACCCAAAAAUAAUCAACAGCUCACUGCAUACUACGCAGCAGACGCAACCUGCACAUUCUUCUGAAUGAGUAAUCAGAGGUAAUGCAAACUAACACCUUUACCUCAGGAAAAAGCUACAGCUACAGAAGCCACCAGUCUAGUAGGCAGAGGAAAUAAUCUUAGUCAGCGUUUUAGUGUGGAAGGGUUCAGAGGAAAAGCCAAGCAUCUCCCUCCUCUUUCUCACUAGAAAAUGCAAUUCUAAUUAGCUUUGAUAUCAGCCAAAAGGGACAGUUUUUGAGUUGAGGUAAACCUAAAUUUCAA